rnacentral:rRNA from 1 species
UGCGUAGGCGGGCUAAUAAGUCAGUGGUGAAAUCUUCCGGCUCAACCGGGAACCUGCCAUUGAUACUGUUAGUCUUGAGUACGGCUGAGGUAGGCGGAAUGUGUAAUGUAGCGGUGAAAUGCUUAGAUAUUACACAGAACACCAAUUGCGUAGGCAGCUUACUAGACCGAUACUGACGCUGAGGCACGAAAGCGUGGGUAGCGAACAGGAUUAGAUACCCUGGUAGUCC